CAGCAGCCGCGGUAAUACGAAGGGUGCAAGCGUUAACCGGAAUUACUGGGCGUAAAGGGCUCGCAGGCGGUUUCUUAAGUCUGAUGUGAAAGCCCCCGGCUCAACCGGGGAGGGUCAUUGGAAACUGGGAAACUUGAGUGCAGAAGAGGAGAGUGGAAUUCCACGUGUAGCGGUGAAAUGCGUAGAGAUGUGGAGGAACACCAGUGGCGAAGGCGACUCUCUGGUCUGUAACUGACGCUGAGGAGCGAAAGCGUGGGGAGCGAACAGGAUUAGAUACCCGCGUAGUCCCUGUCUCUUAUAC
rnacentral:rRNA from 1 species